UACGUAGGGGGCAAGCGUUGUCCGGAUUUAUUGGGCGUAAAGAGCGUGUAGGCGGUUUGGUAGGUCCGCUGUGAAAACUCGAGGCUCAACCUCGAGACGCCGGUGGAAACCAUCAGACUAGAGUCCGGAAGAGGAGAGUGGAAUCCGUGGUGUAGCGGUGAAAUGCGCAGAUAUCAGGAAGAACACCCGUGGCUAAGGCGGCUCUCUAGUACGGUACUGACGCUGAGACGCGAAAGCGUGGGGAGCGAACAGG
rnacentral:rRNA from 1 species